CCAAGAAAUGGACUGGACGGGAAUUUUGUGGAUGGAAGAGGACCACAUAGAUAGUUGUGGCUAAGAUUCAAUUCUUGAAGCCUUGAAAUGGUCUUGGGCACAUUUGCAGACACCAUAUUGUUUGACAAACCCAGGCUUUUAGGGUUUUUCCCUGAGAAAUAAUUAUCAGCAAGGCAAACAACUUUUAGAAAAGUGAAUGCUGAAAAGAUAUCUGGUACACUACCACUGAGCUGGUUCCAGCUUGAAUUCAGCAUAAGAAGCUGCUUCAGCCCCAGGGAGCUGCUUGGAAUAGCACCUGAGAGGCAACUAUUGCUUAAGUCGAGUUUCUCCAGACGUCUCAACUUCCACAAGCCCGGUAUCCUGCUGGAGAACUGGUUUCCACCCAGAGCCAGACUUACCAGGUUCAUCAUAUUACCAACCUUUCUAGGUAUAUGACCAGGUAAUUUACUGUUUCUAGUCAUUAUAGGCUGAUAUUGGUAUAGAAAAUAAAAAAUCUGGGAAAGGACCUGUUAAGUCGCCAAGUUCCCUCAAGAGGAAUGAUUCCAUACACUGGAGUUUUGAGAGUGAGAUUGAGAUGGUGCCUGGCUGUAAAAGCCAUAUACUUGUGACAUGGUUAUUUGACUCAGGCCUGCAUGAUACCAACGCCCAUGUACUGCAGUCUGUAUCAAGUUUCCACGAGUUCUGCAUGCCUGAUGGGUGGGAUUUAUGCCCGACUUGAAAUGCUAACAUCCAUUUCCAUCGUCCACAUGGCAUUGUUUCAUCGUUGCAGCAGGAUACUGAUGGAUGAAUAGUUGGAGGUUAAUUUGAGUGCAAUAUUGGUAUAAGCGAGCAGCAUCAUGUUCUUACUAGUAAAACAGGAUGAGAAUUGACCAACGAAUGGUAGAAAAGAUGAAUAUGGUAAGAAGUUAUAGUUACAUUAGCUUAUUGAUGCUGGAUUCUUAUCGCUUUCUAGGUAAGAAAAAUUCACGUUAUUAGUAUGCAUGGAACCUUUCACAAGUCAUAAAAAUCAUGUUUAAGGAUAGCCAAGGUUCCAGAAAUGGCCUAAGUUAUGUGUUGAAUGAAUUCACUACUUCUUACGUGGA